rnacentral:rRNA from 1 species
UGGGGAAUAUUGCACAAUGGGCGCAAGCCUGAUGCAGCCAUGCCGCGUGUGUGAAGAAGGCCUUCGGGUUGUAAAGUACUUUCAGUCGGGAGGAAGGUGGUAAGGUUAAUAACCUUAUCAAUUGACGUUACCGACAGAAGAAGCACCGGCUAACUCCGUGCCAGCAGCCGCGGUAAUACGGAGGGUGCAAGCGUUAAUCGGAAUUACUGGGCGUAAAGCGCACGCAGGCGGUUGAUUGAGUCAGAUGUGAAAUCCCCGGGCUUAACCCGGGAAUUGCAUUCGAAACUGGCAGGCUAGAGUCUUGUAGAGGGGGGUAGAAUUCCAGGUGUAGCGGUGAAAUGCGUAGAGAUCUGGAGGAAUACCGGUGGCGAAGGCGGCCCCCUGGACAAAGACUGACGCUCAGGUGCGAAAGCGUGGGGAGCAAACAGG